UGGGGAAUCUUCCGCAAUGGGCGAAAGCCUGACGGAGCAACGCCGCGUGAGUGAAGACGGCCUUCGGGUUGUAAAACUCUGUGAUUCGGGACGAAAGAUAAGCAGACGAAUAAUCUGCAUAAGUGACGGUACCGAAAAAGCAAGCCACGGCUAACUACGUGCCAGCAGCCGCGGUAAUACGUAGGUGGCAAGCGUUGUCCGGAAUUAUUGGGCGUAAAGCGCGCGCAGGCGGCUACUUAAGUCCAUCUUAAAAGUGCGGGGCUUAACCCCGUGAUGGGAUGGAAACUGAGAAGCUGGAGUGUCGGAGAGGAAAGUGGAAUUCCUAGUGUAGCGGUGAAAUGCGUAGAGAUUAGGAAGAACACCGGUGGCGAAGGCGACUUUCUGGACGACAACUAACGCUUAGGCGCGAAAGCGUGGGGAGCAAACAGG
rnacentral:rRNA from 1 species